UGGGGAAUAUUGCACAAUGGGCGCAAGCCUGAUGCAGCCAUGCCGCGUGUAUGAAGAAGGCCUUCGGGUUGUAAAGUACUUUCAGCGAGGAGGAAGGCGUUGUGGUUAAUAACCGCAACGAUUGACGUUACUCGCAGAAGAAGCACCGGCUAACUCCGUGCCAGCAGCCGCGGUAAUACGGAGGGUGCAGGCGUUAAUCGGAAUUACUGGGCGUAAAGCGCACGCAGGCGGUCUGUCAAGUCGGAUGUGAAAUCCCCGGGCUCAACCUGGGAACUGCAUCCGAAACUGGCAGGCUAGAGUCUUGUAGAGGGGGGUAGAAUUCCAGGUGUAGCGGUGAAAUGCGUAGAGAUCUGGAGGAAUACCGGUGGCGAAGGCGGCCCCCUGGACAAAGACUGACGCUCAGGUGCGAAAGCGUGGGGAGCAAACA
rnacentral:rRNA from 1 species